rnacentral:tRNA from 14 species
AGGCGCUGUACCCAAGUGGCUAAGGGAGAAGUCUGCAAAACUUUGAUUCGCCGGUUCGAUUCCGGUCAGCGCCUUCUA